rnacentral:rRNA from 1 species
CAUGAACGCUAGCGGGAUGCUUUACACAUGCAAGUCGAACGAGCGGCGGACGGGUGAGUAAUGUAUGGGGACUGCCCGAUAGAGGGGGAUAACUACUGGAAACGGUAUCUAAUACCGCAUACUAUCGGAUAACCCAUAUGGGAUUAGCUAGUAGGUUAGGUAAUGGCUCACCUAGGAGACGAUCCCUAGCUGGUCUGAGAGGAUGAUCAGCCACACUGGGACUGAGACACGGCCCAGACUCCUACGGAGGCAGCAGUGGGGAAUAUUGCACAAUGGGCGAAAGCCUGAUGCAGCCAGGCCGCGUGUAUGAAGAAGGCCCUAGGGUUGUAAAGUACUGUCAGUCGGGAGGCGGUACCGACAGAAGAAGCAACGGCUAACUACGUGCCAGCAGCCGCGGUAAUAC